CAUUUGGGUGCCAGUAUGGGAGCCCUGUCCCCCAAGGGCACUAAGGCUAAGACACCGGGCACCUGGAGUGGUAGAACAGGCCAGAGCUUCAAGUGAGCAGAGGAGUGUCAAAUCACUGAUGGUUGGUGACUCAGCGGUGGGCACACAAGCAAUUUAGUCACUCAACAAAUAUUUGUUGAGUGUCUGUGUAAAGCUGGACACAGCCCUUUGACCAGGGCUGGUCUUUACACGAAACAUGGUUGCAACAUGUAAGCCCUUGAUUACAUUCUACCCCGUGUGUGUAUCUGGGUAUAUGCGCGUGUGUGUGCACACGCAUGUGAGCACAUGCAUAAGCUGAUGACCCACCCAUAGAAGUGGGUAGGAUCUACCUAUAGUGCCACCACCUGAGGGAUAGGUGAAGUUGACUCUCCCAAAGGCUGCAUUCAGAUCAGGAUUAACCACCAGGACACACUUGCAGUAGGUGGACCCAGAGGCUGAGUGCUCACACCCCACCCAAGGAGAGCUCCGAGUGUACACUGCCAUGUACGGUGGGAAAGCAGGACUGGGCUGGGAAAGUGUAAGGCAAAGAGCUAGGUAGGCGGGAAUAGGGAGAGGAUGUCUGGGGAGCAUGCUCGGUGGGACUGCAGCGUCCAGUCUCUGCCUCCUGCAGGAGGUGCAGGUGUGCACCUGUCAAAGCUUCUGCUGGGGUCCUGGGCCUUCACAUCGGCUCCCUGACAUGAUAUUCAAGUUACCAGGCACUGAGGAUGAAAGAACAAGUAUGACACAAUUCUUGCCCUUGCUGGGCUCCCGGGCAGUUAUGACGGCUGUUACAGGAGAGGAGCGCACAGGAAGAAAUGCCUCAUUGCGGGAAUAAGGGAGGCCUGGCAAAGAGAUCCAGCUAGGGACUGGCCCAUAAAUAGCCAGGAUGACAGACCAAGGGAGAGGCACCCAGCUGGCCUCUGGAAGGGAGUUUUUCUGGGGCCUCUCCUGCAGUGAAAACCUCCCCGGAGUCCCUGAAGCUGUGCUGGAGGAUGAGUACAGUGGACAGGACGUGGUGAGUCCAUAGGUUCCCUCUAAUAGCCAUUCACGCGUGGCUCAGGUCCGGAGCUAGGCGUACAAAGGGGAAGUGGAUUCAGAUUCUUCCCCGAGUCCAGGAUCAGGUAGGCAAAUGGCCACUGCAGUGUGGUGUGGUAAGUUCAGUGAGAGGGUGCAAGGCUCAGAAGUGCAUUCACCUAGACGUGGGCGUGGGGUAGAGCGAGUCACGGAAGGCUUCCUGGAGGUAAUGCCCAGGUCCAGUCUUAAGGAUAAGAGGGUCGAAUCAAGCAAAGGUAGAGAGGGCUUUUCAGACAAGAGAAAAGUGUAAGUGAGACAUCAAAGUCAAGAAACAACAUGGGGAGUUCCCAUUGUGGCUCAGUGGGUCAAGAACCCAAAAUAAUGUCCAUGAGGAUGUCAGUUUGAUCCCUGGCCUCUAUCCUUGGCUUAAGAAUCCGCAUUGCCAGGAGUUCCCGUCGUGACGCAGUGGUUAACGAAUCCGACAAGGAACCAUGAGGUUGAGGGUUCGAUCCCUGCCCUUGCUCAGUGGGUUAAUGAUCCGGCGUUGCCGUGAGCUGUGGUGUAGGUUGCAGACGCGGCUCGGAUCCAGUGUUGCUGUGGCUCUGGCGUAGGCUGGUGGCUAUAGCUCCGAUUCAACCCCUAGCCUGGGAACCUCCAUAUGCCGUGAGAGCGGCCCAAGAAAUAGCAAAAAAAAAAAAAAAAAAGAAUCCGCAUUGCCGCAAGCUGCAGCGUAGGUUGCAGAUACGGCUUGGACCCAGCAUUGCUGUAGCUGUGGUGUAGGCCUGCAGCGGUAGCUCUGAAUUGACUAGCCCAGGAAAUUCCAUAUGCCCCAGGUGUGGCCCUAAAAAGAAAAGAAAUUAGAUUCCUGAUUGAGGAAAGACCCCAUAGCCAGAGUGACCAGGCAGACAGAUUGAUAGAAAUAUUUGCAAAGAUAAAACCAACAGGGAAUUGAUACCUUCUAGAACAUACAAAGAGUAGACAAAUGAAUAACAAUGACAGGAGAAAGUUACCGCCGCCGGCCAAAAAAAAAGAAACAAAGGUAUGAUGAGGAAUUUUAUAGAAGAGGAUACCUCAAAAGUCACACACAUCUUAUGGCAGAGAUUGCCUCAGGCUUCACCAAUUUCCAAAUCAUCUUUUCUUUGACACAGAGAUGGACUGCAUUUCUCAGGUCAUGUGACUGAAUUCUGGUCCAAGGAAUGUGCCUGCCUCAGUGUGUGGCUCGACAAACCGCCCAUGCUCUUCCCUAAGGGCUCUCUCUUCCCAACCCAGCUGGCUGGAUGCAGAGGAUCCAGCAGACGAUGCUGAGCUCCUAGGAGAUGGCGACAGAGCCACACAACGGAAGCCUGACAGCCUGGACCACCUCUCCCUAAACCGCACGGCACUGGACUAUGUUGUGAACCAAAAAAUAAGCCUUUGUUUUGUUAAGCCACUGAGAUUCGGGGUUUGUUAUUCAUACGCAGUGAUUCUUCCUCACUGAUACAAAUAUUUAGAUGUGCUCAAGGUUAUCCGAGAAAAGCAAAAUAAAAAAAGGAUACGGAGUUCCCGUCGUGGCGCA
rnacentral:lncRNA from 1 species